CAUCGUCAGCGUAUUCAGUAUUAAUGCAGGCUAUGAUGUGAUAAUAGAAUCCUUGUGGUCACUAGAUUAUACUUGCUUGUAUUAUUUAUGCUGAGUAUGCCGGUGUGCACUUCUCUUCUAGUAGAACGUCGCAACCCGUUGGAUGUUUAUCUAUGGUCUAAAUGGUAGACUAUGAUAUUUAUUGUAUCGAAGACCUUUGGUAUCCUGAUAAGCUGUCUGACGGUAUAAAUAUGGUAUUGAGUCGCAUANNUUUGCGUUAGACUUNCCGCAAGUAAGAGUUUAUUCUAGUAGUGCGAAUUUAUAUCGUCGCUGGACAAAUUYUGCUGUUAGCUUGUAAAGUCUCUAACUGACUUAUUUACUAGUUAGCGAUGCUACUGCUUUGGGUACUUACAGGACCCGUCUUGAAACACGGACCAAGGAGUCUAACAUGUGCGCGAGUCAUUGGGAAUAUUUAUAUAAAUCAAACCUAAAGGCGCAGUGAAAGCAUAGAUUGUCUUAAGACAAUUAAGGGAAGAUGGRUCACAUUACGAUGUGACCCCGCACUCCCAGGACGUUCUAUUCUCUUUG
rnacentral:rRNA from 1 species